rnacentral:rRNA from 1 species
GAUGAACGCUGGCGGCGUGCCUAAUACAUGCAAGUCGAGCGAACAGACGAGGAGCUUGCUCCUCUGACGUUAGCGGCGGACGGGUGAGUAACACGUGGAUAACCUACCUAUAAGACUGGGAUAACUUCGGGAAACCGGAGCUAAUACCGGAUAAUAUAUUGAACCGCAUGGUUCAAUAGUGAAAGACGGUUUUGCUGUCACUUAUAGAUGGAUCCGCGCCGCAUUAGCUAGUUGGUAAGGUAACGGCUUACCAAGGCGACGAUGCGUAGCCGACCUGAGAGGGUGAUCGGCCACACUGGAACUGAGACACGGUCCAGACUCCUACGGGAGGCAGCAGUAGGGAAUCUUCCGCAAUGGGCGAAAGCUUGACGGAGCAACGCCGCGUGAGUGAUGAAGGUCUUCGGAUCGUAAAACUCUGUUAUUAGGGAAGAACAAAUGUGUAAGUAACUAUGCGCGUCUUGACGGUACCUAAUCAGAAAGCCACGGCUAACUACGUG